GGGCCUAUAGCUCAGUCGGUUAGAGCGCUUCGCUGAUAACGAAGAGGUCACAGGUUCGAUUCCUGUUAGGCCCACCA
rnacentral:tRNA from 8 species